CCGCCACCGGGACGCGACGAUCCCUCGAGUGCUCGACGGUCGCCCUGGUCACGAGCCGCGCUCGGACCAGCCUCGAGGGGGAGCGAGUGGCGAGACCGACCCGGGGACCU
ncrna:unclassified sequences c-di-GMP-II-GAG riboswitch